rnacentral:lncRNA from 1 species
AUAUAUAUUGAUGCAUGCAUUAUAGGGUAGAUGUGAUGAUAAUAAUGAAAUGUUGCAUGAUGUGAGUACACGUGCUUAUUAGAAUGAUUAAGAAUCUAAAUAACCCUAUGUGUAUGCAUGAGAUGUAAUGUGAGAACCCAAUGAGAUGAAAGAACAAUGUGACACAUGAGCAUAGAUCGAGUGGCAUCCAAAUGUAAAGUAAAGAACACUAGAAAUUAGUGUGACGCAAAAGAAUUAAUGUGACGUAAAGAUAAUGAUAAAAUAGCUAAAGUUAAUGCAAGAUAUGGCAUAAAGAACAAAGAGUAAAGUUAGAGUAAAGUGGGGCAAUAAGAACAAGAAAUGUAACGAACAAGAAUGCUAGAGUUAGCAAGAGUAAAGAAAUGUAAAGAAUGUGAUUGCAUGAGUUUGCAACAUAAAGUGAUAUAAAGGACACUAGAGCUAGUGUAAAGUCAAGAUUGAACUUAUAAUCCUUUGAGUUAAGGAUAUGAUCAUACUUGCUAUGUGUUCCGUGCUCGAGGGCGGUCGCUCCCCCUCGGGCGAUGCGCUCCGGAGUUAUGCAUCCGGGUUGGUGUAGACCCGUAAGGACGGUCCUAGUGGGUGAGUUCCUGCGAUGAUGGACUUAAUGUGAAGCAAGUUUAAUGUGGCGAAACCCCCGGGUUAGCCUUGGGAUUAAAGAAUAAAGAAUAAAGAACAAAGAGCAAAGAACAAAGAACAAAGUGUAAAGAUAAAGAACGAAAGAACUUGCAUAAUCUGCAUAUGUUAAUGUUGAGCAUAUUCCUUGCUUAUUGUUUCGGCAUAUUAGCAUCAUGUUGUAGAUUGGUUACUAUAUUUCAGCUUAUUCUUUCUAUUAUGCCUGAGUUAGUCCUAGUGGGAAAGUCGGUGAUGUUGGGGCCGAACCCACUGGGAACUUUGUUGUAGUUCUCACCCC